AUUGAACGCUGGCGGCAUGCCUUACACAUGCAAGUCGAACGGCAGCACGGGAGCAAUCCUGGUGGCGAGUGGCGAACGGGUGAGUAAUAUAUCGGAACGUGCCCGGUCGUGGGGAUAACGUAGCGAAAGCUACGCUAAUACCGCAUACGAUCUACGGAUGAAAGCGGGGGAUCGCAAGACCUCGCGCGAUUGGAGCGGCCGAUAUCAGAUUAGGUAGUUGGUGAGGUAAAGGCUCACCAAGCCGACGAUCUGUAGCUGGUCUGAGAGGACGACCAGCCACACUGGGACUGAGACACGGCCCAGACUCCUACGGGAGGCAGCAGUGGGGAAUUUUGGACAAUGGGCGCAAGCCUGAUCCAGCAAUGCCGCGUGCAGGAUGAAGGCCUUCGG
rnacentral:rRNA from 1 species